rnacentral:rRNA from 1 species
AUUGAACGCUGGCGGAAUGCUUUACACAUGCGAGUCGAACGGUAGAGGGGGCAACCCCUCGAGAGUGGCGAACGGGUGAGUAAUAUAUCGGAACGUGCCCAGUCGUGGGGGAUAACGUAGCGAAAGUUACGCUAAUACCGCAUACGAUCUAAGGAUGAAAGCGGGGGAUCGCAAGACCUCGCGCGAUUGGAGCGGCCGAUAUCAGAUUAGGUAGUUGGUGGGGUAAAGGCUCACCAAGCCAACGAUCUGUAGCUGGUCUGAGAGGACGACCAGCCGCACUGGAACUGAGACACGGUCCAGACUCCUACGGGAGGCAGCAGUGGGGAAUUUUGGACAAUGGACGCAAGUCUGAUCCAGCCAUUCCGCGUGCGGGAUGAAGGCCCUCGGGUUGUAAACUGCUUUUGUACGGAACGAAAAGGUCUCUCUUAAUACGGGGGGCUCAUGACGGUACCGUAAGAAUAAGCACCGGCUAACUACGUGCCAGCCGCCGCGGUAA